rnacentral:lncRNA from 1 species
CGGCCCGGGGCGAAGCGGCCGUGGGGCCAAACUGGGCGCCGGGCGCGAGCCGAGGCCGCCGCGGACCCCGCAAUCCCGCAGCCGGCGACUGGAGCCCACCUCUGCGGAGACAAAGAUGCGUGCGGAUUCAGCAAACAGUGGGAAAGCAGAGGACACAAGUUUGGAUGUGAAAUAGUAACACCUUCUGCAGUGGAGAAUAAACAAUAAUUACACAAAAUUGAGCAUGUUGUUGGACCUUCCCAAACAGUAACACUUCAUGCUGGUCUAUACAUGUCUAUACAUUCAGAACAUUGUUUAGUUCUGAAACAUUCUGAGAAAUAACCUCAAUUGUCAAUUUCCCUCUACCCAAAAAAAGGCAGAGUUUAUGAC